rnacentral:tRNA from 1 species
UUGUGGAAGAUCUUAAAAACUAACAGGAGCACGUUUGCAUAAGGGUAAGCUAACUGAAGCCUGUCAUUCAUAAAACAAAUCCUAGAUUCCUUAGAGAAAUGUUGGAAAGAAACUGAAAGUGUCGUGAAAAUUAUUUGCCCCAAGUAUCAUAGCAACAUUGGCAAAAACACACUUCAGACCCAAUAAUGCUUGCAUGAGGGUAAAACAGAAGUGGGUGAAGGAACCUGUAUGUCUCCCUUUCAGUGAUGCUCUGGGGGUGGGGGAAGAUAUAGGAGGGGGGAAAGCUCCCAUAUUUUUUAUUACAUAUCUGAUGUCACAUAUGGUGUCAGUUGUGGAGCAGGUGGGUGUGGUUUGUAGGAAACGGCCUUGUGGGCUGAAAUGGAACAUGUGUGGGGUCUGAUUAGGCUCACAGACCAAAGGUUAGUGAGACAGUAUUUGGCCCCAGGUUAGUCAGUGAGCUCUGUGGCUGAGUGGGGAUUUGAACCUGGGCCUCUUUGGUCUCAGGCUAGGGAUCUUAGGCAAGCAGCCCAUACAGGUCCACCCACAGUGGUGGUGACUGAGGUGAAUAGCCAAACAAAACAAAACACAAAACAAAACAAACACGCUUCCAGACUGUUAAGACCUUAUUAUUCCUCCAGUCUUUUAGCACAUUUGACUCUUGCCAACUGUGGAUCCUUUUAUCUAGUUUAAUUGUGGCUUUUUAAUGUUCUCCAGUUUUAAUUAUAAUGAGAUUUUAAGUGCUGUAAAAUAAGUUGGGGGCCUUUUUUAGGACUGAAGGGUGAUAAUGUUUUUCUAAAUGCAUCAUAUUCAUGUACACACACAGAGAGAGAUAGCCACAGAGAGCCAUGGUGUUCCUAAGUACCAGAAGGUAGAAAUAAAGGCUUAUUUAUAUCCCCAGAUUUCUCCAACCUCUGACUUGGGUUGCUGAAGCUGACUUGCGCUAUAAUAUUAUAAUGCUGCGGGUACUUAUGGUUUUAUACUGUUAUUUUUAUAUAUUGAGCUUUGCAUGCUUCUUUGAUAUCUUUCUUUAAUAUUUAGUGGGUUAAUUUUAAGUGAACAAAAGCCAGGUAGAAAUCCUAGAGCGAUGAAAGAGUUUCCCCUUCCUCCCCACUGUGUGCCCUUUAAAUGUUUUCUGGGAAUUCCUCCACCAUCUGAAACAGAUUUGGGGAUGGUGCACAGCACACACAGCCAGAGGAGAGAAUCCUGUUGUGCUAGCUCAACUAUUUCAUUGAAUGCUGCUGCCCUAUGUUGAGAAAUAAAUAAAUUGGAAAGAGACAAAUAGUGAUGCCUGGGAUUGCCUAAUGUCAGCUCUGAGCCCAUAUGGUGAUAUGUGUCUGAGAAAUGUGCAUCCUUUUCCAAUAAGUAGAGCUCCCACAUCCUCAGUCUGUUGUUCCACAAUCUCCUCCUAAAUAACUGCUGGGCUGAACUCCAUGUCUAGAUGAAACUACACAGAAAAAAUAAGAAGAUAGAUCUGAUCCAGAUAGGACAAAUUUUGGGGCUCUUUCUCUGUUUCAGAAGAGGCUGAAACUACAAAGCUAGACUAGUUACUCCACCAGAUCAGAAUCUCUUUUGAGCCUGAAUGAGCUACUGUACUUUCCAGUGCUGUGCUCAUCGUUGUAUUGCUAGGCAGGCAAUUCUUCAUAUAAUAAUAGAUUGAGGCACACACACAGCUCAUUGGCCCAAGUAGGAACCCUGGAAUGCUGUGGCCUAAUGUAACCACUUCCAGAUUUGCACAGCACACGUCAGUGCUUGAAACAAGAAGUGGGUCUCACUUAGUCACCGCCAAACAUAGCAACGGCGUCGGCACAGCAGGGUUUUGUGGCAGCGCAAGAACUGGCUUUUCUAGAUGUCCCAGGCUUCCUGGUUCGGUAAGGGCAACUGGGAACUGGGAACUUGCCCAUGGCAAUGCACGGCAGCUCUGACAAGGAGAUUCAAAGUUGCCAGUGGCUGUUUAUCGUGGAUCUGGGGUGCUCUGCUUGUCUAUCCAGAUUAUUGUGAAUGAGCAGAGCAAGGUAAACAUGAAGGAGUCUUUGCACCAUCCUUGCUGUAUCUGACAAACAUGCCUAUGCUACCACCCAGACUCAGCAUAGGAUAGAGGUGCCCAAGCUCUCAGCCAGGGGGCAGGGGCUACUGUGUUUUCUAGAAAGUGGUCCAGGGAGCAGGUGUAUAUUUUCCCACACAACCUGACAUCCCCACAUAUGUUCAGGCCCCGCAAUAAAGUUGGCAUCAAAUCUCAGUUUGAGCUUCCACAAGACAGCAACAUGUGCUUGGACAAGCAUGGGCCUUUACAUGCAAAAGCCCAGCAGAGAUGUAAUAUUUGUGUUUGGAUUCUCUCUCUUUCAGUCUCAAAGUCACAUCAUUUGAAAGCAGUGCUUUUUCUUCAGAGCCAAACUGAAGGGAUUUUAAAGGUUUGUUUUUUUAAAAAAUCACAUCUUAGUUAUAAUUUGGCGAGUUUUACGAGGGCUGCCAAAAUUGCUUUCUGGGAUGGUUCAGGCCCUUGGCCAAGCCUGGUAUAGGAGAUAGGCUUUAUAUUUCUGUAUUCAAAGUUUCUGUCUGCAUAGGCUAUCUUCUGCUAAUGCAAGAGCGGGGAAUCUGUGGCCCUUCAGAUGUUGCUGGACAUCCCAACAUCCUUAACUGUUGGCUAUGCUGGGGCUGAUGGAAGUUGGAGUACAACAAAAAACUGGAGGACUGCUAGUUCCCUACCUCUGCUCUAAAAGAAGGAGAUGCAGAAAAUUUUGGAAAGCAUGUAAGACUGCUUUAUACAAUAACCCAUUUGUAGCUCAAAAUCGUAGGUUUUUCUUAAUCUGGAAUUGUUAAUGUUCCUCCUCAACAUGCUGCUUUCAAUCUAUAUUGAUUCUAGAUCCUUCCACCCACAAGGGUUGGUGUGAUUACUUGAUUCACAGUUGAAAACCUUCCGCUUGAUCAGGUUAUUCACACCUUUUCCUCCCUGCAGACGAUGCUGGGAUAGCUCAGUUGGUAGAGCAUGAGACUCUUAUUCUUAUGGUUGUGGGUUCAAGUUCCACGUUGGGCAAAAGAUUCCUGCAUUGCAGAAGGUUGGACUACAUGACCCUCAGGACCUUCCAACUCUACAAUUCUAUGACCUGGACGAAUGAAGAAGGAAGUGGUGAUUGUGAUAUGUAUACAACUCUCAUUGCUCGGGCAACCUAUGUCUGUUUUCAAAUGUAUGCACUGUGAGGACAGUAAACUUUUAUUUUCAUAAUGAAACCAUUUUCUCAAGGAGCACUUUUCAGGGUCAAAAAUGUGGACUAUGUAGGGAAAAAAUGUGGACUAUUGAUUCUAGAAUAAAAUGUUUGUGUAUG